AAAGUCGUAACAAGGUUUCCGUAGGUGAACCUGCGGAAGGAUCAUUAUUGAAUAAAUCUGAUUAGUUGUAGCUGGCUCUCCGGAGCAUGUGCACACUAGUCACCUUUAUCUUUCCACCUGUGAACACACUGUAGUCCUGGAUACCUCUCGCCGCAAGGCGGAUGCGCAGUCUGCUGUGCUGCUCGAAAGAGUGGCCGGCUUACUUCGAAUUUCCAGGUCUAUGAUUAUACAAACCCCAAAUGAAUGUUACAGAAUGUUAUCAUCAGGCCUUGUGCCUAUAAACCUAUACAACUUUCAGCAACGGAUCUCUUGGCUCUC
rnacentral:misc_RNA from 1 species